rnacentral:rRNA from 1 species
GACGAACGCUGGCGGCGUGCUUAACACAUGCAAGUCAAGGGCUAGCAAUAGCACUGGCGAACGGGUGCGUAACGCGUAGGUAAUCUGCCCAUAUCCCCGGAAUAACAUCGAGAAAUUGGUGCUAAAAACGGAUGAGGUGCUUCGGCAUCAAAGGCAACGGAUAUGGAUGAGCCUGCGUCUGAUUAGCUAGUUGGUGAGGUAAUGGCUCACCAAGGCGACGAUCAGUAGCUGGUCUGAGAGGACGAUCAGCCACACUGGAACUGAGACACGGUCCAGACUCCUACGGGAGGCAGCAGUGAGGAAUUAUGCACAAUGGAGGAAACUCUGAUGCUGCAACGCCGCGUGAGGGAUGACGGCCUUCGGGUUGUAAACCUCUUUCAGCAGGGAAGAAGCGAAAGUGACGGUACCUGCAGAAGAAGCACCAGCUAACUACGUGCCAGCCGCCGCGGUAACAC